GACGAACGCUGGCGGCGUGCUUAACACAUGCAAGUCGAACGAAGUGGCGAACGGGUGAGUAAUACGUGGUUACCCUGCCCUCCUUUUUGGGAUAAGCCUUGGUAACGGGGUCUAAUACCGAAUAAAGGGGGCUGGGCGCGGGGCCUAUCAGCUUGUUGGUGGGGUGAUGGCCUACCAAGGCGGUGACGGGUAGACGGCCUGCGAGGGGGACCGGGAAGAUUGGGAGUGAGAUACGGCCUAGAAGCCUGCGGGAAGUAGCAGUGGGGGAGAUUGCAAAAGGGGCGAAAGAAUGAUGGAGCGACGGAGGGUGGGGGAUGGAGGGUUUGGGGUUGGAAACCUGGUUGGCUAUCGAACGGGUAGGUGGAGAAGAAGCGCCGGCUAACUACGUGCCAGCAGCCGCGGUAAUUC
rnacentral:rRNA from 1 species